rnacentral:rRNA from 1 species
UUAGAUACCCUAUUAUACUAAUAAAGCCCUAAAUUAUUGUUAGAUAUGUUCUUUAAAUUUAAAGAAUUUGGCGGUGAUUUAGUCUUGUUAGAGGAACCUGUUUUUGAAUCGAUAAACCACGAAUUAUCUUGCUUACUUUUGUGUACAGUUUAUAUACCGUCAUUAUUAGAUAAUUUUUAAAGGAAUAAUUAUUAAAAUUUUUAAUAAAUAAAAAUGAAAUUAGAUCAAGGUGUAGCUAAUAAGUAAGCUAAAAUGGGUUACAAUAAAAUUUAUAUAGACGGUAAUAGUAGUUUAAAAUUACUAUAAAGGUGGAUUUAAUUGUAAUAAGAGUUUAACAUGCUUUUAGGAUAUAAGCCCUAGAUCAUGUACAUAUCGCCCGUCGCU